CUUGUGGAGCUGGUCUGGAGGAUGUUUGUAAGUCUGCACCCUGAGCGUGCUCCUGCCUGCUUGGUGGCUUUGCUUCCUCUGUGUCCUUCAGCCCAAGAGCCUGGGCUUGAGCAAGUAGAGAUCAGUGGACAGGGCAGGUUUCCUUCAGUGUCAGGAGCUAAUGCUGAAGAUGAUGAAUGUUUCCAGCCACAGUAAUGCAUUAGAUCCAGCAGGGCCAUCACAGCUAAAGCCUCCUGUUGGCCUCCUUUACAGACAGCAGAGGAAGAGGAUGGUUGAUGGCAAGCAAGGAGAUGGUCUUGUUGCUCCUAACUGGAUUUGGUCCCAGCACACUGAAGAGCCCUUGUCUCAUUUCCUGGUUGUUUUCCAGCUAGAAGAUUGGAAACUCAGAAAAUUCUGAAAAGUGAAGAUCCAGUCAAGCUUCCACUUGCCUUGAACGUCUGAAGAGAUAAGAGACCUAAGCUCCAUUCUGUUAAAAGAUAAGGGACGUUGUUACUGCUGAGCUCGCUCCAAGUUCAACGGAUUUCAUCUGUGUGACAAAGGGUAUCACAUGCACUGGAUAUCAUUUAAUGCUUCCCUAACCCUGACUGGCCCAGGGGCACUGUUGAGGAAUGACUUUCCAUUAAAAACAGCCUAAUAUAGCUUCACAGAAAGCCUUUGUAGUGGAAAACACUGGCUGCUCAUUCCGACAGACUAACUCAUGCUUCAUGAGCCUAACUGGACCAAAGCCAUGGCUGUACCGUUGUCCGGUUCAGCUGCCGAGAUUUAUCUGAUAUCCGAAUUGCAAAUUUUCAGUCCAAGGGCAACUGUCCGUGUACGAGUCCCUUAAAAUACCCCAGGAGUGCAGCAGGAAAACUGGGAGCCCUGGGCUCUCUCUUUCCUCCUUGCCGAAGAGGAAAGUUUCACUGCAGCAACUUCUGCCACAGCACCAGAGCCCAUCCCUGACUUCCUACACUGCCCCACGCUUCCCACACACAUGUUUGUGUUGCUGAGGAUUUUUCUUUCACAAAAUACAGUCAUCAAGAAAGGGAGAGUGGUACAAAUGUCAUUUCCUCAGGAGUAAGAGAGAUAAAGAGAAGGGUUUAUGCUGAGGAUAGUUCUCCUCAGCCCAUGGUGCCAAAUGUGUCGCAGCCAGUGGGACAACCCUUUCCUGGAGCAACAGGAUACGCAGAAAGUGAGUGCAAAAUCAUUUUAUAGCUACCAUACUAUUAUAGUUACGUAACUCAGGGGCAUAGGAGUUCAGAUCCAAGCUUGAAAUCUGUAAAGGAGCAGACUGGGAACCCACAUAUAAGCCAAGAUUCUGGAUCUAUUUCCCCACACGCCCAUUUUUGAGCCUUUGCUGUAUUAAAAAAAAAAAAAAUCAAUUUUGGAACAGGAGAAAAGCUUGCUACAAAACAAGCAAAGGGGGAGACUUGGACUUUGUCAUUUACCCUGAGGAAUUUCACUUACCAGUGAAAUAACAGAAAAUUUUCCAGUAGGUAAAAGCAAAUCUAUGCUGGUUAUUGCUUAACGGUUGUCUAUUCACAGCUGGCCUCAACUACCCUACCUUUGUUUGGGCCUCAGAUCAGCCUGUUUUGCCUGUCAUGUAGCUCUUGAUGCUAGAGACUGAAUUUUCUGCCCAUCACAUGUGAAGCAGACAUUUCGAAGCUAAAUAUCUAGUCUGUUUUCAAUUUUUCCUUCAAAUACCAGAAGUGAUUGCACCACAUUAUGGACUAAUCACCUGUCAAAUUUAAUUUCUUAAGCUGAGGCUGCCUUAGAGCCAAGUGAAUAAAAAAGAAAAAAUACUCUGUCCAAACCCACUAAAUUAUUAUUUUUAUGCCUGUGUAGUUACCUAGAAAUGGGAGCUAUUUCUUAACCUCUUGGUUUAACUGUAUAGCAAAUACAUUACUGUCAAACUAGGGCAUUAUAUGCAAAAUCUUAUCUUCAAAUAGGUCUUCAUAUCUAACCAUAUCUUCAUAUUAUAAUAAACCCAAUUUUAUGAAAGUAGUAUUAGGUCCAGCUAGGAGCAAAGUCCUCCUUUGUAUUUAUUAUUGAGGAUCAAACGGACAGAUCUUCAACAUCAUUUCAUACAGCUUGUGUCAAGAGGCACUUUUGCCUCUCUCUACAUCUAAAGGUCCAUCAGAAGUUCCUAUAAUGAUGCACAAGAGUCAGUGCUGGUCUGUCCUAGGAAGGGAUCUAGACAAAUUAUCUGCGUGUU